rnacentral:rRNA from 1 species
GGGGGGGGGGGGCGGGGGGGCUGGUGGGGGGAGGGCGGGGGGGCGGCCGGGGGGCUUGCGUCGCGGCUGGUAGCGGCGGACGGGGGAGGAACGCGUGGCUACCCUACCUAUAAGACGGGGAUAACUUCGGGAAACCGUAGCUACUCCCGGAUAAUAGUUUGACCCUCGUGGUGCCACAGUGACACACGGUCUUGCUGUCACUUAUCGCUGGACCCGCGCUGCAUUAGCUAGUUGGUAAGGUAACGGCUUACCAAGGCCACGCUGCAUAGCCGACCUGAGAGGGUGAUCGGCCCCACUGGACUUGAGACACGGUCCAGACUCCUACGGGAGGCAGCAGUAGGGAAUCUUCCGCAAUGGGCGAAAGCCUGACGGAGCAACGCCGCGUGAGUGAUGAAGGUCUUCGGAUCGUAAAACUCUGUUAGUAGGGAAGAACAUAUGUGUAAGUAACUGUGCACAUCUUGACGGUACCUAAUCAGAAAGCCACGGCUAACUACGUG